rnacentral:rRNA from 1 species
AGGACGAACGCUGGCGGCGUGCUUAACACAUGCAAGUCGAGCGGUAAGGCCUUUCGGGGUACACGAGCGGCGAACGGGUGAGUAACACGUGGGUGAUCUGCCCUGCACUUCGGGAUAAGCCUGGGAAACUGGGUCUAAUACCGGAUAUGACCUCAGGUUGCAUGACGUUGGGGUGGAAAGUAGUUUAUCGGUGCAGGAUGGGCCCGCGGCCUAUCGAGUCUUGUUGGUGGGUAAUGGCCUACAAGGCGACGACGGGUAGCCGACCUGAGAGGGUCGACCGGCCACGACGUGGACGUGAGACACCGGCCAGACUCCGUACGGGAGCGAGCGAGGUGGGAAUAGUGACAACAAGUAGGGACGAAAGCCGUAGA